rnacentral:lncRNA from 1 species
AAGACUGCCAAGCUUUCCUCUGCAGUGGAGGCUGAGAAUGAAUUAAAGGAAACUUAGGCAUUGAAAUCAGAAAGAGGGACCAGGUAAGACAGCUGCUGCAUAUAGUGCUGAAGGUCGUGUCCCAGCCCAGAAGCACACAGUUGGAAGACGAUGGAGGCCAACACGCACUUCAUCUGCUGGUCAAGCCACCUGCCCAGUGCAGUAUUGACCCUGUCAUGAAGAAGGAACACCUUCUGUCAGUCCACAAAGAAGUGCUCAAUGGCCUGUGGUGACAUUGUUAGCACCCUAAGAAAAUAAUAAUGUGAUCAGUUAAGAAAAAAAAAUUAAUCUACAUUUGCAGAGGAGCUCAGGUUUAAUCUGCAACCAGACUCAGAAAGAAGAAAGAGCUGAUAUAGAAGAAGUAAAAGAAUAGCCAAGGCUUUAUGAUACCUGAGAAUUGUGGAAGAGUACAGCAAAGGAGGGAAAUAAACGUAGAGAAAGAGAAAUGCCAAUAUUGUAAUUUUUUGCCUCAUUUUAGAAAAUUAUCUCAAGAGAUUCUGUGUGUUCAGCUCUAUGUUUCAGGCCAUUGAAUGAAAGACCUCAUGGUAGUAGCUAUAUCAUAUGUAAGCCUCAUAAUGUGAAAUGUUGAGGUACAAGGCUCUGGCAUGUAGCUUCAUUGACCCACUUUGUUUUUUUCUUGGCUUUGCACAGGAAAGAACUGAAGGACAAGUUAGUGGUAGGGUAGAAGAAAACAGCUUUACUGAAGUGGCAGUGUUACUGCUCUAUUACUGCUCUAUGACUGCUCCAGCAGAGGAGGGCUACCCCACAGGCAGAGAGUAGCCCCUUGAGCCAUUGUUCAUUCUCAUGUUGUAGGUUAGAUUCCUGGAUUUUCUGAGAAACUGGUUGAAGAACACAGCUCAGAAGCUCACCAGAGGAGCUGCUGGGGCAAAGCCAGGUACCUAAGCAGCAGGCUCACGGGAAGGAUCCCCUCCAGAGCGUCACAGAGUCAAGCCCAGCAGGGCAUAUACAUCAUCCACUGAAUCCACUAUAGGAACCUCCCGGAGGAUCUCUGAAGUCAGCAGCAGUGGUUGUGUACUACACAGGAACCACAACCUGACGGGCUAUGUUCACAUUGCAGGCUUGUACCUUCAUAAUGACAAUUUUCCGACAGAGGGAAAUCAAUAUCUUGAGGCAGGGAUACUUUUUCAAACAUACAUAAAAGCAUCAUGAGGACUAGCAGUGGCACUGCCUUCUGGGAUCUGACUAAAAUCAUGAGGAAAAUCAAAUCAGUGUUAAAUAGCUUCAAAAAAUUGUUUCCUCUGUACCUAAAAGUAGUAGAAUGACUACAUUUUCAACCCCAGUGUUUUUAAGCAGAUUUUUGACUUCACCCAGUAUAGUAUUUCUUAAUUUUUCUAUUCCUAGAAGAUCAAUGACUGGUGAUACUGAUGCAAAAUAACUUUGUGAUUUUCUAGAUCUUUAAUAUUAUUUGGGUUUGAUCAUUCCUACCUAUGACCAAAGAACAAAAUGUUAAAAAAGAAACAAAACUAAAACAGCCAAAAUAUAUUUAUCAUAGCCAUUGCUUAGUUUAGGCAGUGGUAUAAUAGGGCUCAAAAAUUAAGGACUGAUACACAUAAAAAUAAUAUAGAUAAAUGGAUGGAUAUCAAGAUGAGUAGAAACAAAGGUAUGUGAUAAAACUCAUACAGUAAAAGUGUUAAUGGCAAAAUAUAGAUAUUAAGGAUAGGAGUGCUCACUCUCACUAGAAAAUUCUUCACCUUUACUCUGUGCUUCAAAAUAUUUAUAUGAAACUGUUGGAGAAAAUCAAGAUAAAUUUCCUUAGCUGUAAUAUCUGGGAUACAAUAUGGUAGAGUGGUGAAAAUGUUUUGAACAUUAACGUCAGAGGAACCUGAUCUUUAGAAAUUUAUUUGAUCUGAACCUUUAUUUUUUACUCUGUAAAAAUAAUAAUGCUUAACUGCUUAACUCAAAGGAUUGGUGGAGGAUUAAAUGAGAUAAUCUGCAAAAAGAGUUUAACAGUGAUGGAUAUCUAUUUAUCUGUAUAUCCAGAGAGAGAGAAAGUAUGUGUGUGUAUCUGUACAAGUGUUUCUAAAACUAAAUUUGGAAAAGGAUACAAUCCACUUAUUUUAAAAAAUACCCAAAGACCUAAAAUAAUUCAUAAUAAUUAUGUAAUUAAAAUUAAAUCUAAUGCUUCCCAUGAUGUGCCCAAGAAGUAUACUAUAUUUCUACAGUA